rnacentral:rRNA from 1 species
UCGUGCCCGUGACUCGGCGAGAAGUCCAUUGAACCUUAUCAUUUAGAGGAAGGAGAAGUCGUAACAAGGUUUCCGUAGGUGAACCUGCGGAAGGAUCAUUG